AAAAUAUGUGAAUUAAAAUAAUGAUAAGUGCUAUGAAUAAGAUAUUAAAUUAUGCAUUAUUUAGCACUUAUCACACCCCCCAACCUACAUUUUGCUAGUCCUCGAGCAAAAUAAAAUAAAUAAUAAAAAAACUAACUCACUUUCGCAGGAAUCGCGAUUGCAUUUACCGUAUGCAAUAAGGCUUUAAACCCCUAGGUGGCCCUAGUGGACGAGUUUUGUCUCGUGAGGGUUUCCGGCUCAGAUACCCACAAACUGCAGUCGAAAGAAUUUAUUUUAUAAAAUCUAAUUUCAAAUGCAUAAGUGCCAAAAAUUUCAAAAGCACACAAAGUUUUAAUUACUAAGUCAGCCCAAAUCCUAGGUCAGUAUGCAAUUUAAGUUGAAGUCAUUA
rnacentral:lncRNA from 1 species